rnacentral:misc_RNA from 1 species
UUUGAUUUUAAAACUUGAUUAUGUAUUAUUUCUAUUACAGUUUAUUAAUUAAACAUCCAUUGAGUUUCUUAGCUAACCAGCCAAACGGCAACACUAUGUACUAGCUUGGGCUAAUGAACUUGCUUAGAUACUGAAAUGUUGGGUUAAUGGCGUCAAGAUCAUUGAACAAUCUAUUUUUACAGGAUUUGCAGGUGGAUCUCCGGGC